rfam:Schistosoma curassoni strain Dakar, Senegal genome assembly, scaffold: SCTD_contig0000028
AUCUAUCUGACGCGUCACAAAUGUGACGAAACGCGUGUCCUGGAU